ACAGUAAGUGAGGUUACCGGUGUAACCCAGAUAAUGCAGUGUCUGGCACUUAGAACUCUAUAAGUGGUAGUAUUUAGCACUUAUCUGGUGCUUAGUAUGUGGUGAGCCUUGUUCUGAGUGCUUUGCAAACAUUAACUCAGUUUUCACAACCACCCCAGGAGGUAGACAUUCUUAGAGUGAAAGGCACAGAGAGGGUAAGUAACUUGUUGAAGUGCACACAGCACUUAAGUGGUGGAAUCAGGACACACACAGGCAGUGGCUUCAGAAUUCGCACCCUUAACCCCGCACUGACAAGGCUUCCCCAGCAGCUGGCGUUGUCGUUGUAAUUACAUAAAUAAGCAUUUUACUAGAUUAAUGUCG
rnacentral:lncRNA from 10 species